GACGUAGGGCGCGAGCGUUGUCCGGAUUUAUUGGGCGUAAAGAGCUCGUAGGCGGUUAGUCGCGUCUGCUGUGAAAACUCGGGGCUUAACUCCGGGCCUGCAGUGGGUACGGGCUGACUAGAGUGCGGUAGGGGAGACUGGAAUUCCUGGUGUAGCGGUGAAAUGCGCAGAUAUCAGGAGGAACACCGGUGGCGAAGGCGGGUCUCUGGGCAGUAACUGACGCUGAGGAGCGAAAGCGUGGGGAGCGAACAGG
rnacentral:rRNA from 1 species